rnacentral:rRNA from 1 species
GACGAACGCUGGCGGCGUGCCUAAUACAUGCAAGUAGAACGCUGAAGAGAGGAGCUUGCUCUUCUUGGAUGAGUUGCGAACGGGUGAGUAACGCGUAGGUAACCUGCCUUGUAGCGGGGGAUAACUAUUGGAAACGAUAGCUAAUACCGCAUAACAAUGGAUACCACAUGUCUUUUAUUUGAAAGGGGCAAUUGCUCCACUACAAGAUGGACUGGCGUUUUAUUAGCUAGUAGGGGAGGUAAUGGCUCACCUAGGCGACGAUACAUAGCCGGCCUGAGAGGGUGGUCGGCCACACUGGGACUGAGACACGGCCCAGACUCCUACGGGAGGCAGCAGUAGGGAAUCUUCGGCAAUAGGGGCAACCCUGACCGAGCAACGCCGCGUGAGUGAAGAAGAUUUUCGGAUCGUAAAGCUCUGUUGUAAGUCAAGAACGGGUGUGAGAGUGGAAAGUUCACACUGUGACGGUAGCUUACCAGAAAGGGACGGCUAACUACGUG